rnacentral:rRNA from 1 species
UAUGAAGGGGGCUAGCGUUGUUCGGAUUUACUGGGCGUAAAGCGCGUGUAGGCGGGCUGGUAAGUUGGGGGUGAAAUCCCGAGGCUCAACCUCGGAACUGCCGCCAAAACUGUCAGCCUGGAGCAAGAUAGAGGCGAGUGGAAUUGCGAGUGUAGAGGUGAAAUUCGUAGAUAUUCGCAGGAACACCAGUGGCGAAGGCGACUCGCUGGAUCUUUGCUGACGCUGAGACGCGAAAGCGUGGGGAGCAAACAGG